GAUGAACGCUAGCGGCAGGCUUAAUACAUGCAAGUCGAGGGGUAGCAAGAUUGUAGCAAUACAAUUGUUGACGACCGGCAAACGGGUGCGGAACACGUACACAACCUUCCUACAAGUGGGGAAUAGCCCAGAGAAAUUUGGAUUAAUACCCCGUAACAUAGCGAUGUGGCAUCACAUUGCUAUUAUAGCUUCGGCGCUUGUUGAUGGGUGUGCGGCUGAUUAGAUAGUUGGCGGGGUAACGGCCCACCAAGUCUACGAUCAGUAGCUGAUGUGAGAGCAUGAUCAACCACACGGGCACUGAGACCCGGGCCCGACUCCUACGGGAGGCAGCAGUAAGGAAUAUUGGACAAUGGUCGCAAGUCUGAUCCAGCCAUGCCGCGUGAAUGAUUAAGGUCCUCUGGAUUGUAAACUUCUUUUAUAAGGGACGAAAAAAGGUCUUUCUAGAUCGUCUGACGGUACCUUAUGAAUAAGCACCGGCUAACUCCGUGCCAGCCGCCGCCGUAAUAC
rnacentral:rRNA from 1 species